CCUACGGGAGGCAGCAGUAGGGAAUCUUUCACAAUGGGCGAAAGCCUGAUGGAGCAACGCCGCGUGCAGGAUGAAGGCCUUCGGGUUGUAAACUGCUUUUAUAAGCGAGAAAUAUGAUGGUAACUUAUGAAUAAGGAUCGGCUAACUACGUGCCAGCAGCCGCGGUCAUACGUAGGAUCCGAGCAUUAUCCGGAGUGACUGGGUGUAAAGGGUGCGCAGGCGGCUCUGCAAGUCAGGCGUGAAAGCUAGGGGCUCAACCCCUAAAUUGCGCUUGAAACUGUGGAGCUUGAGUGAAGUAGAGGCAGGCGGAAUUCCCGGUGUAGCGGUGAAAUGCGUAGAGAUCGGGAGGAACACCAGUGGCGAAGGCGGCCUGCUGGGCUUUAACUGACGCUCAGGCACGAAAGCAUGGGUAGCAAACAGGAUUAGAUACCCGAGUAGUC
rnacentral:rRNA from 1 species